UAAUCAUGCAAGUCGAGCGAACGGAUAAGGAGCUUGCUCCUUUGAAGUUAGCGGCGGACGGGUGAGUAACACGUGGGUAACCUACCUAUAAGACUGGAAUAACUUCGGGAAACCGGAGCUAAUGCCGGAUAACAUUUGGAACCGCAUGGUUCUAAAGUAAAAGAUGGUUUUGCUAUCACUUAUAGAUGGACCCGCGCCGUAUUAGCUAGUUGGUAAGGUAACGGCUUACCAAGGCAACGAUACGUAGCCGACCUGAGAGGGUGAUCGGCCACACUGGAACUGAGACACGGUCCAGACUCCUACGGGAGGCAGCAGUAGGGAAUCUUCCGCAAUGGACGAAAGUCUGACGGAGCAACGCCGCGUGAGUGAUGAAGGUUUUCGGAUCGUAAAACUCUGUUAUUAGGGAAGAACAAAUGUGUAAGUAACUGUGCACAUCUUGACGGUACCUAAUCAGAAAGCCACGGCUAACUACGUGCCAGCAGCCGCGGUAAU
rnacentral:rRNA from 1 species